rnacentral:rRNA from 1 species
CGGGGGUACUCGAGCGGCGAACGGGUGAGUAACACGUGAGUAAUCUGCCCUUGGCUUCGGGAUAGCCACCGGAAACGGUGAUUAAUACCGGAUACGACACAUCACUGCAUGGUGCGUGUGUGGAAAGUUUUUUCGGCCAGGGAUGUGCUCGCGGCCUAUCAGCUUGUUGGUGGGGUAAUGGCCUACCAAGGCUUCGACGGGUAGCCGGCCUGAGAGGGUGACCGGCCACACUGGGACUGAGACACGGCCCAGACUCCUACGGGAGGCAGCAGUGGGGAAUAUUGGACAAUGGGCGGAAGCCUGAUCCAGCAACGCCGCGUGAGGGAUGACGGCCUUCGGGUUGUAAACCUCUUUCAGCACAGACGAAGCGCAAGUGACGGUAUGUGCAGAAGAAGGACCGGCCAACUACGUGCCAGCAGCCGCGGUAAUACGUAGGGUCCGAGCGUUGUCCGGAAUUAUUGGGCGUAAAGGGCUCGUAGGCGGUUUGUCGCGUCGGGAGUGAAAACACCGGGCUUAACUCGGUGCUUGCUUUCGAUACGGGCAGACUAGAGGUAUUCAGGGGAGAACGGAAUUCCUGGUGUAGCGGUGAAAUGCGCAGAUAUCAGGAGGAACACCGGUGGCGAAGGCGGUUCUCUGGGAAUAUCCUGACGCUGAGGAGCGAAAGUGUGGGGAGCGAACAGGAUUAGAUACCCUGGUAGUCCACACCGUAAACGUUGGGCGCUAGGUGUGGGGUCCAUUCCACGGAUUCCGUGCCGCAGCUAACGCAUUAAGCGCCCC